ensembl:lncRNA
GGCAGAAUAAAGUGGCGCUUGUAGCGAUCAUACUUUCUAGGAAUUGUGAAGCAACAACGCUACCAGCCCAGGCACCCCUAGGCUGGAGGCUGGUAACACCUGUUUGAAAAAGAGAAGAACAGGUGUUGCUUCCGGAGGCGACGAGUAGCAGAUCAGUUGCAGAACCUCCAACUUUAUAAAUAAAGUUUCAGGUAGGAACUUCCUGUUUUUGGUCUGCAGUCACCUGAGUGAGUGGUUGAAGGAGUUUGACAUGUAGCUUCUGAACUACAGUCAAUAACCAUGGCAGUCAUCAUGGCAGCCAUCAAGACAUUAUUACAGGAGGAACAUCAUCAACCCUCAUUCCUUGUUGCUUCCUGGUGGUUUGUGAAACCUUAAAUCCAGAACACACGGUCCUUAAACGUUCCACACAGUGACUUAAAACUGCCUAUUCAGACACUGAUGGUGUUAAAUGGAUGAUAAACCCACUGAUGAAGGGCAGGAUCUUUCCACUGAGUAUACGGAUGAAUGCAAAGGUAUCAUAGACUCAACAAAGCUCAACAUGGAACAAACUUGUCUCAGACUUAAUCUUUCUCAACCUCAACCAUUAGUAGUUGCUCUUAUUUACCAUCAGCAGGUUUUAGUCCCACAGCAAGAGGAUUCAUUACUCAGUUCAAGUUCACUCUAGUCUCCCUGCUGGCUUAGAAGUUAGUAGGAAUUCUGGCAACUUUUUCUGGCACUCUUGCUGCUAGAUUUACAUGGCGUUUAACAGUAUUUUUUUAAAAUGUUUUUUUUCAGUAUUUUUAACAAUUUUGCUGAUUAAAAACAAUCAUUUUGUUGUAAGAGAACUAUUAUCAUCUGCUUUAGCCUUUUAUGAUUAGCAAGCAAAUUAAAACACUUCCUUCUGUGAUUUCACUUGUAAUCUGUAAUUUAACUAAAUCAAAGUGGGGAAAUCUGUAAAAUAUCUGUAGACUGGUUAAGAA